rnacentral:rRNA from 1 species
AUGUUCGGAGACCUGGAGAGGCGGAGACCAAUGAGAAGAGUCAAAAAAGUACAAGGAGGGUUACACCAGUGCAUCUACGCGAAUCGGCGUGAAGGUGAAGACCGGAGCAGGAAACAUGGGUUGCUCAGCCGCAGAAACACAAAGGCCGCGCCCAGCAUGGCCAUUGCUGAGCGUCCUCCUGGAUUGCAUGUACGAGGCGCUAAACAGACAACACAACCAAUCGAAGAUGCAACUGCAGCGGUGCGUUCAAAGCCUCAAGGCGGUGAGGAGGAUGAUGGAGGAGAGCCCUCGGUGAUGUGCGCUGGGGGCUAG